rnacentral:rRNA from 1 species
AUGAUCUAUGGGUCUACUGGAGCUACCCACUUCAAUGAAUUAGCCAAGAUUUUGACCGGAUACGAAAUCGCUGGUGCUCGAUCUAGUGGUAUUUUUAUGGGUAUUCUUUUUAUCACUGUAGGAUUCCUAUUCAAGAUUACUGCAGUUCCUUUUCAGAUGUGGGCACCUGUUAUCUAUGAGGGUUCACCCACCCCGGUGAGGGCAUUCCUUUCUAUUGCGCCUAAAAUCUCUAUUUCUGCAAAUAUGUCACGUGUUUCUAUUGUUGCUUCCUAUGGGGGUACAUUACAACAAAUCUUGUUUUUCUGCAGCAUUGCUUCUAUGAUCUUAGGAGCACUGGCUGCCAUGGCCCAAACGAAAGUCAAAAGACCUCUAGCUCAUAGUUCGAUUGGACAUGUAGGUUAUAUUCAUACUGGUUUCUCAUGUGGAACCUUAGAUGGAAUUCAAUCACUACUAAUUGGUAUAUUUAUUUAUGCAUCAAUGAUGAUAGAUGCAUUCGCCAUAGUUCCAGCAUUACGGCAAACCCGUGUCAAAUAUAUAGCAGAUUUGGGCGCUCUAGACAACACGAAUCCUAUUUCGGCUAUGACCUUCUCCAUUACAAUGUUCUCAUACGCAGGAAUACCCCCGUUAGCCGGCUUUUGUAGCAAAUUCUAUUUGUUGUUCGUCGCUCUGGGUUGUGGGGCUUACUUCCUAGCCUCAGUGAGAGUAGUGACUAGCGUUAUAGGUCGUUGGGCGGCCGGAAGGUUGCCAUGA